ACGAAGGUGGCUGCCACACGGGCCUGGGCCGCGGGCGAGAAGCCCCGGCACCCAGAGAACUGUGGGAUUCCGGCAUCGCAGGAGCACUUCGAGCACCCACCAGAGAGAUUGUGCCCAGCCCCACAUCAGUAUCCCAGCUCCACGGCCACACACAUACCUGGGUGACCAUCUCUGCAUCCACAAAGUCUGGCAGCAGCAGCCCUGUGUCGAAGAUGGGGUCACUGGGGGGGUCUGAAGAGGUCCCUGCCACUGCACAGUGAGGAGAGAAUGGCCAGGAGGACACGUCGGAGGCAAG